AAUUAUAAAGAAAAAACGAUAAUCUGGUACCAAAACGCGAACAAUGUAAGCUAGACUGAAUCCUAUGAAAAUAUAAGCACACAUAUGUACAGUACACUAACAGGUGAAUAAUUGUGGUUCAAUAAACAUCUAGCUAUCAUUUACCUAAGCAAUUAUCCACCUAAACAUACAGUAUAUCACUCAUUGGUGCCUAUUCAGUACCUUCAUUAGUUUUGGAUCGAGUGAUUCUUUUUCUCCUGACGGAUGCGGCGACUAAGCCCGGUGUGUGUGUGUGUGUGUGUGUGUGUGUGUGUGUGUGUGUGUGUGUGUGUGUGUGUGUGUGUGGCUUGAGCGCUAAGAUCCCUACAGUACUUAAGUGUUUGGUACUACAUUAGUUGGCUAAAUUUGUGGGUGAUUUGAUGAUGAGAGAGAGAGAGAGAGAGAGAGAGAGAGAGAGAGAGAGAGAGAGAGAGAGAGAGAGAGAGAGAGAGAGAGAGAGAGAGAGAGAGAGAGAGAGAGAGAGAGAGAGAGAGAGAGAGAGAGAGAGUGUGUGUGUAUACGCAACAAUACUAAUCAAUCACAGAUAGCAAGCAAACAUUUUCCUCAUAGCUUCCAUUUCUAUACUCUAUUUCCUCCUCCUCUUCACUCCUUCCGCUUCCACGCACCAAAACACAACACAGGCAAUGUUAAGUCACUGCCCUGCGCGCGUUACGUAAACCCUCUACCGGCGCGCCUUGCUAUGCUGCUACUCUCAAGGCUAGAGCGACCACCAGGCACCACCCUCCCUCCUAGCCUCCCAUCCCAUCCGUGUUUUCCUCCCCGGGCCAGCCGCUCUGUUGCUACCCGCCUCCGCUUCACCGGCCGCUCUCCACACGUGCAGCACCACCAGGCUUGGGUACGAAGAGUUUUGCGUUGUGCCUUCAGCUUCAGCCUCCCAUUCUACUUCGACGCUUGCUUUCAGGUCCAUAAACGAAACCUGAUCUUCGCGACACUUUCUCUCGCAAUCAAGGGAAGUCGAGGGCAGUCGUGGUGGCGUCCGUUCCUCAGCUUUAAGAUUCCUGACUCUUUUCUCCUCAUCAACAAAGAAACUGGAUCUUUACUUUCUCCUCCAAAUAAGUAAUCGGUUCAUCAGUAAUUCCAUGUAUAGUGUGAUUUAUGAGUGAUUUUGUUUUGAUUCCACGUUUGAGUGUUGUCUUUGGCAAAUAAGGAUAUCUGUGGUGUUUCCAGUGUGGUUCUUACUCAUAUCCUGAAACUCUGUCAGAUUUUGUUCCUCUUCUUCCCACUACUUCAGUAAUUUUAACAGAGGAGUAUCAAGACAUGAAAAGAAAGAAAGAAAAAAAAAACUGGCCAACCCUUUCAGAACUCUUUCUCUACAAACUUUCUGGGAUUGGCAAUUAUAAUAACUUUUUUUUCUGAUUAAUAUACUUUGCCAGUUCCCGCUACAUGUAAAAGAUACCUAAGUUGAUAAUGAAAGAAAUACACGUCCUCUUCUUGUUACGUAAAUAACACAAUAAUAAAAUAAAGGCGUGUCCCUCUAACAUUC